AAGAUUUUAAGUUAACAAAAACUAUAGGCCUUCAAAGCCUGAAAUAAAAAAUGAUUUUUAAAUCUUG
rnacentral:tRNA from 1 species